CAUUCUGUGUGUGAAUAGCAAAAUCGAGAAACUCCGGUUCCCAAAUCGUCAAGAACCCUAACAGGUGUGAUUGAUUGAGCACUGACUACAGGUGCCAGCCCUGGUGCUUGGUGCUUUAACUGGAUUAUCUUUCUUUCUUACAGAUAAUGCACAAGGUUGAUACAAUUCUCUCCAUGUUACAGACUCAGUGGUCAGCGGAAACUUGAUGAUAGCAUAGUGGUCAAGCUUGUUUCUCCUGGGAGCGCUCUUCCGAGGAUAUUUGGGCUGUCUCCGGAGUCGCAGUGUCUUCGGCCGCCGGAAGGUGGGUGACGUGCGGAUCUUCUUCUUUUUGUGGCUGUGGACACCUUUCAACACUGCCUUCUUGGCCUUUAAAGCCUUCGCUUUGGCUUCAGCUUUAGGAGGGGCAGGAGCUUCCUUCUUCGCUUUCGGCGCCAUGUUGUGA
rnacentral:lncRNA from 1 species